rnacentral:rRNA from 1 species
CCCAGACUCCUACGGGAGGCAGCAGUGGGGGAUAUUGCACAAUGGGGGGAACCCUGAUGCAGCGACGCCGCGUGGGCGAGGGAGCGCCUCGGCGCGUAAAGCCCUUUCGGCGGGGGAGAACGAUGACGGUACCCGACGAAGAAGCACCGGCUAAAUACGUGCCAGCAGCCGCGGUAAUACGUAUGGUGCGAGCGUUGUCCGGAUUUACUGGGCGUGAAGGGGGCGCAGGCGGCACGGCAAGCCGGCGGUCAAAUCGCGGGGCUCAACCCCGCCCAGCCGUCGGAACUGCCGGGCUAGAGUGGGCGAGAAGUGCGCGGAAUGCGUGGUGUAGCGGUGAAAUGCAUAGAUAUCACGCAGAACUCCGAUUGCGAAGGCAGCGCACCGGCGCCCUACUGACGCUCAGGCACGAAAGCGUGGGUAUCGAACAGGAUUAGAUACCCGAGUAU